rnacentral:rRNA from 1 species
AAUAUUGGACAAUGGGGGAAACCCUGAUCCAGCCAUGCCGCGUGCGUGAAGAAGGUCUUCGGAUUGUAAAGCACUUUAAGUGGGGAGGAAGGGUUGUUGUCUAAUAUCUAGCAAUUUGGACGUAAUCGACAGAAUAAGAAUUGGCUAACGAUGUUCCAGCGGCCGCGGUACUACAGAGGGUGCAAGCGUUAAUCGGAAGUAUUGGGCGUAAAGCGCGCGUAGGUUGUUCAGUAAGAUGGGUGUGAAAUCCCCGGGCUUAACCUGGGAACUGCUUUCAUAACUGCUGAGCUCGAGUACGGUAGAGGGUAGUGGGAUUUCCUGUGUAGCGGUUGAAUGAGUGGAUAUAGGAAAGGAAACCAGUGGCGAAGGCGACUACCUGGACUGAUACUGACACUGGGGUGCGAAAGCGUGGGGAGCAAACAG